GACGAACGCUGGCGGCGUGCUUAACACAUGCAAGUCGAACGGAAAGGCCCUGCUUUUGUGGGGUGCUCGAGUGGCGAACGGGUGAGUAACACGUGAGUAACCUGCCCUUGACUUUGGGAUAACUUCAGGAAACUGGGGCUAAUACCGGAUAGGAGCUCCUGCUGCAUGGUGGGGGUUGGAAAGUUUCGGCGGUUGGGGAUGGACUCGCGGCUUAUCAGCUUGUUGGUGGGGUAGUGGCUUACCAAGGCUUUGACGGGUAGCCGGCCUGAGAGGGUGACCGGCCAAUGGGGGUAGAAAUACCCGCCGAAGUCCCGCGGGGGGGAGGGGGGGGGAAAUGGUGAACAAGGGGGGGGGGCUUGAAGAAGGCACCCGGGGUGCGAAACUGGCGCGUUGGGGGUUGAAACCGGUUUCGGGUGAAAGAGAGGGUGGGUGGCGGAGAGGGGUAAAGAAGCACGGGCAAAAUCGG
rnacentral:rRNA from 1 species